rnacentral:rRNA from 1 species
AAUGAACGCUGGCGGCGCGCCUAAUACAUGCAAGUCGAGCGAGAAGACGUAGCAAUACGUUUGUAAAGCGGCGAACGGGUGAGGAAUACAUGGGUAACCUACCCUCGAGUGGGGAAUAACUAGCCGAAAGGUUAGCUAAUACCGCGUACGCUUCUUGGACUUCGGUUCAGGGAGGAAAGCGAUGCCGAGGGUAUCGCGCUCUUGGAUGGGCUCAUGUCCUAUCAGCUUGUUGGGAGGUAACGGCUCACCAAGGCUUCGACGGGUAGCUGGUCUGAGAGGACGAUCAGCCACACUGGCACUGCGACACGGGCCAGACUCCUACGGGAGGCAGCAGUAAGGAAUAUUGCGCAAUGGGCGAAAAGCCUGACGCAGCGACGCCGCGUGGGGGAGUGAAGGUC